CGUAGGCGGUUUGUCGCGUCUGCCGUGAAAGUCCGGGGCUCAACUCCGGAUCUGCGGUGGGUACGGGCAGACUAGAGUGAUGUAGGGGAGACUGGAAUUCCUGGUGUAGCGGUGAAAUGCGCAGAUAUCAGGAGGAACACCGAUGGCGAAGGCAGGUCUCUGGGCAUUAACUGACGCUGAGGAGCGAAAGCAUGGGGAGCGAACAGGAUUAGAUACCCUGGUAGUCCAUGCCGUAAACGUUGGGCACUAGGUGUGGGGGACAUUCCACGUUUUCCGCGCCGUAGCUAACGCAUUAAGUGCCCCGCCUGGGGAGUACGGCCGCAAGGCUAAAACUCAAAGGAAUUGACGGGGGCCCGCACAAGCGGCGGAGCAUGCGGAUUAAUUCGAUGCAACGCGAAGAACCUUACCAAGGCUUGACAUGAACCGGAAACACCUGGAAACAGGUGCCCCGCUUGCGGUCGGUUUACAGGUGGUGCAUGGUUGUCGUCAGCUCGUGUCGUGAGAUGUUGGGUUAAGUCCCGCAACGAGCGCAACCCUCGUUCUAUGUUGCCAGCGCGUUAUGGCGGGGACUCAUAGGAGACUGCCGGGGUCAACUCGGAGGAAGGUGGGGACGACGUCAAAUCAUCAUGCCCCUUAUGUCUUGGGCUUCACGCAUGCUACAAUGGCCGGUACAAAGGGUUGCGAUACUGUGAGGUGGAGCUAAUCCCAAAAAGCCGGUCUCAGUUCGGAUUGGGGUCUGCAACUCGACCCCAUGAAGUCGGAGUCGCUAGUAAUCGCAGAUCAGCAACGCUGCGGUGAA
rnacentral:rRNA from 1 species